CUCUCUCUCUCUCUGUUCCUGGGUCUCAUGAAACGCUACUAGAUCUCGACCUGCCCGCUUCUUUUUCUUCCACCAGCACUAUUCCUAUACGCAGUUUUCAUUUGAACGUUUGGAUUUCUAGAUCCCCAUCCUCUUCUAUCUGCUUUGCUAAUUUAUCUUCUUGAUCCGUCUCGUUCUUUCUCCCUUACUUUUUUCUCAUGGAUAGGUCAUUUAGAUGGUUGUUUUGUUUUCAGGAUGCCCCCAGGAAAUCCGACCCCAAGCUCAAAACUCCAUGAAUUUCCAAAAGACAAAAUAAUGGGAGUUGUUUUGUCUUUCCUUUUUGGAGGGUAUCUCAGCGAACUAUUCUGCCCGUGCGGAUUGGAUUAUUUUUAUUUAUAAAAAGUACUAAGAAAACUUUACCUUCCGUUCAUCCCUUCUGCGCAGUUUUCUUUUGGAACCGUAUUUUUCUAUUAGGGUUCCUUCGGACACUCUGUACCUCUAGCUUCACCCAUUUGUUAAGUGCCACAUCAGCCCAAAGUUUGUGGAAGCCCACUGGAUCAAGGGAUCGAGGCGCUAUAUAUUGACAGGGGUUAUUUAUUGAAGUGCAGGAAUUAAGAAAGGUGAG